rnacentral:rRNA from 1 species
UACGGGGGGGGCAAGCGUUGUUCGGAAUUACUGGGCGUAAAGGGCUUGUAGGUGGCCAACUAAGUCAGACGUGAAAUCCCUCGGCUUAACCGGGGAACUGCGUCUGAUACUGGAUGGCUUGAGUGUGGGAGAGGGAUGCGGAAUUCCAGGUGUAGCGGUGAAAUGCGCAGAUAUCGGGAGGAACACCUAUGGCGAAGGCAGCUCGCUGGGACGUUACUGACGCUGAGACGCGAAAGCGUGGGGAGCAAACAGG